rnacentral:lncRNA from 1 species
CAAGAUCUACUAUUUCUGUCCUUCCACUUAAAAAGAAAGUAUAUAACAUAAGUAAUACAUAAGUUCAAGUAUUGCGUUGUUCUAUUAUUUUAGUUCGUACAGCAUAUUUAUUCAGAUUCUUCAAAAUUCAUGUUUCAAAUAGAUUUUACAAAACCAGAAGCCAAGAGUUGAGAAAUGCCAAGAAUCCAUAGACACUAUCUCAUCUCAGGAAUGCAGCAUGAAGUUCCUUAUUAUGCGACUGUGAAAAAGUUAUUGUUGCAUAUUGCAAGCAUUGAAGUUUAUGAAACCAAAGAUCCCAACUUUAGAAAUGACCAGUCGGACUACAAGACAAGACUUCUUAGUAAAACAGUGAAUGGUUUAAAAUGUAAUAAAUUUUGAUUCCAUCAUUAAUGAAAAUGGAAACAAAAACUUAUAUGUAAUCAAGUUUUAAUCCUGCUUUUUCAGUCUUGCUGUACUAUCACAUUUAAUCUAUCACUAGUUGAAUGCAAUAGUACAACAAUCAUGGUAGUCAUAAAAUUGAAAGCAGGAAUCCUAAGAUCAAAAACUGAUGUGUUUUAUUUAAUUUUUUUUCAAAAACACAAAUCAGACUCUUUUAAAGGAUCUUUCUUUCUACAAUGAAAAAUAUAUUUUUUACUAUUUUGAUAAUUAAUCCUAAUGAAAGUGGUUCUAUAUUUACCAUUUUCUGAGCUAUACCUGGCUGUUUUGGCAGAAGCAGCAAGAAAAGAAAUAAAGCAGUUGAAAUGUCAAAAUACUUAUGGGACAUAAGGCCACAAGAGUAAGGAGAGACUGCUUGCUGGGUGCUUCAAGAAAGGAAGCAAUGUUUAUACAAUAUAAUAAAUAAAUGAACAGAUGAACUACCUUACCACAAAACUGCAGGUCCAUACAGAAUUCCUUUAAAAUGUAAAAUUAAAAGGUGAAACAUAGCUCAAUACAGGGAUUGUAUCUCAGUAUAAGAAUUAAGAAUGAUUGGAUUAUGUUUUGUUGUGUUCAAGUUGUGCAAACAUUGUGCAAAGACCAUUGUGUUCGAUACAGUUUAUGGAUAACUCCUAACCAAAAGAGAAAUAUAUUAGGUUGAAAUGUUCCAAUGUUGAUAUAAUUAAGUGAGCUGAAUGAAACAUUAUUUGUCUUGCCCAGGAUUUUCUACCUUCAUCUCAAAUAAAUUUUACAUAGCUC